AUUGAACGCUGGCGGCAUUCUUUACACAUGCAAGUCGAACGGCAGCGCGGGCUUCGGCCUGGCGGCGAGUGGCGAACGGGUGAGUAAUGCAUCGGAACGUGCCCAGUAGUGGGGGAUAGCCCGGCGAAAGCCGGAUUAAUACCGCAUACGACCUGAGGGUGAAAGCGGGGGACCGAAAGGCCUCGCGCUAUUGGAGCGGCCGAUGUCGGAUUAGCUAGUUGGUGGGGUAAAGGCUUACCAAGGCGACGAUCCGUAGCUGGUCUGAGAGGACGACCAGCCACACUGGGACUGAGACACGGCCCAGACUCCUACGGGAGGCAGCAGUGGGGAAUUUUGGACAAUGGGGGCAACCCUGAUCCAGCCAUGCCGCGUGCGGGAAGAAGGCCUUCGGGUUGUAAACCGCUUUUGUUCGGGAAGAAAUCCUCUGGGCUAAUACCCCGGGGGGAUGACGGUACCGGAAGAAUAAGCACCGGCUAACUACGUG
rnacentral:rRNA from 1 species